UCAGGAUUGUGGAUACAAACAUUAUGGUUCUAGCGGUUUCCUUAGUCCAUGGCAGAAACAAAUAGGGACAGAAAAUUCCAUCUUCAUCACUUACAGAAGAAAAGGCAUAUUUUUAGAUUGGCUUAAUUGAUCUACUUUUUUUCUGUUCGGGGUCACAAAUGUCAUGAAGCUGGCCACACCUCGAAAGGCUGCCUAGAUCUAUUCAGUGAAUUGAAAGAAAGUUGGAAAGCAGCAUGAGCAAUACA